rnacentral:tRNA from 1 species
AGAAGCAUGGCUCAAUUGUAGAGUGCCAGCCUAGUAAGCAGCAAGACUCUGAGUUCAAACCCCAAUACUACUA